rnacentral:rRNA from 1 species
GGUUAAGCGACUAAGCGUACACGGUGGAUGCCCUGGCAGUCAGAGGCGAUGAAGGGCGUGCUAAUCUGCGAUAAGCGCCGGUAAGGUGAUAUGAACCGUUAUAACCGGCGAUACCCGAAUGGGGAAACCCAGUGUGWYUCGWCACACUAUCAUUAACUGAAUCCAUAGGUUAAUGAGGCGAACCGGGGGAACUGAAACAUCUAAGUACCCCGAGGAAAAGAAAUCAACCGAGAUUCCCCCAGUAGCGGCGAGCGAACGGGGAG